rnacentral:rRNA from 1 species
AUUGAACGCUGGCGGCAUGCCUUACACAUGCAAGUCGAACGGCAGCACGGGAGCAAUCCUGGUGGCGAGUGGCGAACGGGUGAGUAAAGUAUCGGAACGUGCCCAGUCGUGGGGGAUAGCGUAGCGAUAGUUACGCUAAUACCGCAUACGAUCUAUGGAUGAAAGCGGGGGAUCGCAAGACCUCGCGCGAUUGGACCGGCCGAUAUCAGCUUAGGUAGUUGGUGGGGUAAAGGCUCACCAAGCCGACGAUCUGUAGCUGGUCUGAGAGGACGACCAGCCACACUGGGAAUGAGACACGGACCAGACUCCUACGGGACGCAGCAGUGGGGAAUUUUGGACAAUGGGCGAAAGCCUGCUCCAGCCAUGCCGCGUGCAGUAUGAAGGCCUUCGGGUUGUAAACUGCUUUUGUACGGAACGAAAAGGUUUGGCCUAAUAAGCUGAGCUCAUGACGGUACCGUAAGAAUAAGCACCGGCUAACUACGUGCCAGCCGCCGCUGUAA